rnacentral:rRNA from 1 species
GAUAAACGCUGGCGGCGUGCAUGAGACAUGCAAGUCGAACGAAGGAUCGGGCUAGCUCGAUCCUUAGUGGCGGACGGCUGAGUAACGCGUAGGUGACCUACCCCGAAGUGGGGAAUAACUGCCCGAAAGGGUGGCUAAUACCGCAUGUGGUCGCACGUUCAUUCGUGCGAGUAAAGCCGCAAGGCGCUUCGGGAGGGGCCUGCGUCCGAUUAGCUCGUUGGUGGGGUAAUGGCUUACCAAGGCGACGAUCGGUAGGUGGUCUGAGAGGACGAUCACCCAGACUGGGACUGAGACACGGCCCAGACUCCUACGGGAGGCAGCAGUCGGGAAUUUUGCUCAAUGGGGGAAACCCUGAAGCAGCAACGCCGCGUGAGGGAUGAAGGCCUUCGGGUUGUAAACCUCUUUUGUCAGGGACGAUGAUGACGGUACCUGGCGAAUAAGCCACGGCUAACUACGUG